rnacentral:rRNA from 1 species
UACGUAGGGUGCAGGCGCUAAUCGGAAUUACUGGGCGUAAUGCGUGCGCAGGCGGUUUCUUAAGUCAGAUGUGAAAGCCCCGGGCUUAACCUGGGAACUGCGUUUGAAACUGGGAGACUUGAGUGUGGCAGAGGGGGGUGGAAUUCCACGUGUAGCAGUGAAAUGCGUAGAUAUGUGGAGGAACACCGAUGGCGAAGGCAGCCCCCUGGGUUAACACUGACGCUCAUGCACGAAAGCGUGGGGAGCAAACAGG